rnacentral:ncRNA from 1 species
UUAAUGGCGUUGACGGAGAGAAGUAGCUUUAAUUAUCGCUAACAGAGAGCAGGUGUUGGUGGAAGUCCUGUAGAAUGAAUUAAUGUGAAUAACACUCCUAAGCUGCAACCUGAACGUUUAAUAAUCAGUAGGGAAGCCGUUGUCGAGCGAUAAUCGAUGGGUUGCAAGACCAUGAGUGGCUGCAUAAGCAGUAAAUCAGGUGGUACCGCGGACAUAUUAAGUAAUUAGUGAGUUCGUCCUGGAU